rnacentral:rRNA from 1 species
UGGGGAAUCUUGCACAAUGGGGGAAACCCUGAUGCAGCGACGCCGCGUGAGCGAUGAAGCCUUUCGGGGUGUAAAGCUCUUACGCCAGGGACGAUGAUGACGGUACCUGGAGAAGCAGCUGCGGCUAACUACGUGCCAGCAGCCGCGGUAAUACGUAGGCAGCAAGCGUUGUUCGGAAUUACUGGGCGGAAAGGGGGCGUAGGCGGGGGUCUAAGUUUGGUGGGAAAUCGCGCGGCUUAACUGGGGGGG